AUUGAACGCUGGCGGGAUGCCUUACACAUGCAAGUCGAACGGCAGCACGGACUUCGGGUCUGGUGGCGAGUGGCGAACGGGUGAGUAAUGUAUCGGAACGUGCCUAGUAGCGGGGGAUAACUACUCGAAAGAGUAGCUAAUACCGCAUACGCCCUACGGGGAAAGGGGGGGAUCGCAAGACCUCUCACUAUUAGAGCGGCCGAUAUCGGAUUAGCUAGUUGGUGAGGUAAAGGCUCACCAAGGCGACGAUCCGUAGCUGGUUUGAGAGGACGACCAGCCACACUGGGACUGAGACACGGCCCAGACUCCUACGGGAGGCAGCAGUGGGGAAUUUUGGACAAUGGGGGAAACCCUGAUCCAGCCAUUCCGCGUGUGCGAUGAAGGCCUUCGGGUUGUAAAGCACUUUUGGCAGGAAAGAAAUCGCACGGGUUAAUAACCCGUGUGGAUGACGGUACCUGCAGAAUAAGCACCGGCUAACUACGUG
rnacentral:rRNA from 1 species